ACCAUUUUUUUCUGUGGUUAGAAAACAUAUGACUUAUAAAAACUAGGUUAUUUAAGGUGUUUUUUGAGACUGUUUUAUAAGUUUAUUUUGUUUACAAUGGAGCCCCAAUUUCCUUUAUUUAAAACGAUUUUAUCAUACGCUGUAUUUAUAAUUGCCUCACCGGUCGCUACUUUUUUUAUUACCAAGUUUUUCAUUUUUGAAGGACUACUGGGAAUAGCAAGUACGGGCGCAAAUAUAUGGUCGGCGGUGCUCGCAAUAAUUAUGCUCCAUAUAGCAAUGGGAUUAUAUAUUUAUAGGGCAUACUUUGAAGCUGAUAAGAUGAAACCUCAAAAAAUAGACUAGUCAUGUGAUGCAAGCUGCAGACGAAUAGUUUGGAGCAUUUUUUUAGUUUUGUAUUAUUUUACUGCAAUUAGUGCAGAGGUAUUUAAUUUAAAAGGACUAUUGUUUAUUUAUUCAUACCUUAUUAUUGAUAUGGGGAAAUCUUUUCUCUAUAAAAUAUAUUCAAAAUAUACUAUUAAGUUAGUGCCCUUGUAAGAUUAAUAUGCAUAUUAUGUAAAAAUUGAAAUAUCAAAUGUUAUUUUAUGGAAACUAUUGUACAAUUAGCUGUAUUUAUAUCUUUAAUUUUUAUAUUUUGAAGAUUCCAUGAGAUAACUUUAAAAUAGCAUUUUAUAAAAUAAAACUAAUUUUUUUAAGUUUGUU